CCUACGGGAGGCAGCAGUGAGGAAUAUUGGUCAAUGGACGAGAGUCUGAACCAGCCAAGUAGCGUGAAGGAUGACUGCCCUAUGGGUUGUAAACUUCUUUUAUAUGGGAAUAAAAUGUUCCACGUGUGGGAUUUUGUAUGUACCAUAUGAAUAAGGAUCGGCUAACUCCGUGCCAGCAGCCGCGGUAAUACGGAGGAUCCGAGCGUUAUCCGGAUUUAUUGGGUUUAAAGGGAGCGUAGGUGGAUUGUUAAGUCAGUUGUGAAAGUUUGCGGCUCAACCGUAAAAUUGCAGUUGAAACUGGCAGUCUUGAGUACAGUAGAGGUGGGCGGAAUUCGUGGUGUAGUGGUGAAAUGCUUAGAUAUCACGAAGAACUCCGAUUGCGAAGGCAGUUCACUGGACUGCAACUGACACUGAGGCUCGAAAGUGUGGGUAUCAAACAGGAUUAGAUACCCCAGUAGUC
rnacentral:rRNA from 1 species